ensembl:lncRNA
GGCAACCAGACAACAGCUACAAAAUGCUUCCUAGUUUCUCUAAACAAACUGCAUAAGUUGGCAGCUCAGACCUUCGACUGAAUGCAUGCAUCUGAUAUCAGCUUCAGAGGAGGGUGUGACCAAGAAACCGAGAGCUCAAAGAGGUACAUCUGCAACAAGAACUCAAACAAUGGAAUUUGGAGUCAGGCUGGUGGCUCAGGAAGAUCCAGUCAUUCCAUUGUUAUCUAGAAGAAGGUUGGGGAUUUAGUUGUCCUUGAAGACACAAGGGGGACUGAGUGCACCUGGACAAAAGUUGCAGUUUUGAUCUUUGCUGAAGACUCAAGACCACACAGGUGGUGGUGUCUCUUGAAGGCUGACAGCAUGUGAUGCCAGUAAGUGCUACCACAUACCUUGUUUGAUGACUCAAGAAGAAAAUGUGUGCUCUGGAU